ACAAUAAUAUUCUAUUUCCUUUGCUCGCCCCAAGCAAGCUCAUUUGCCUUUUUCCAGGGGUUUUACUUUCACCAACUCACUGAGUCACUCUGACUCGCCGCGUUCUCUACGCCUUCCACAACCGAUCACCACCUUCUCUGCCUCCGCCUCCUCAGGAAUAACGUGAUUCAUGAGGAAGGCCACCAAAUGAGCUCUUUGCACUCAUAUAUUGAAUCAGCCAUGGUGAGCUUAAGAAGAAACAAACGCAUGAGACUAUGCACCGAGAGUUGUUCUGUUCUAGCUCCAUUGCCAAGGGUUUGUGACAGGGGAACUGCUCCUCAAAAUUCUACCCAAACAAAACCAGAUAGUGUGCAUUCAAUGCCUUCAAAUGAUGUGAAUCUGCCGGAGGGGAAUGCGACUCAUACAAGGGCUUCCUCUGAGAUUAUCAGUGUGUUGAGAGAGCCAGCUGCAGCAGAGAGAGUUUUGCUGGGCUUACUUGGCCCUGAUGAUACCAAGAUUAUGCAGGAGUA